rnacentral:rRNA from 1 species
UCCUACGGGAGGCAGCAGUGGGGAAUAUCGCACAAUGGGCGCAAGCCUGAUGCAGCAACGCCGCGUGAGGGACGAAGGCCUUCGGGUUGUAAACCUCUUUUAGUAGGGAAGAAGCGACUGGGUUUUCCUGGGAGUGACGGUACCUGCAGAAAAAGCACCGGCUAACUACGUGCCAGCAGCCGCGGUAAUACGUAGGGUGCAAGCGUUGUCCGGAAUUAUUGGGCGUAAAGAGCUCGUAGGCGGUUUGUCGCGUCUGCUGUGAAAACCCGAGGCUCAACCUCGGGCCUGCAGUGGGUACGGGCAGACUAGAGUGCGGUAGGGGAGAUUGGAAUUCCUGGUGUAGCGGUGGAAUGCGCAGAUAUCAGGAGGAACACCAAUGGCGAAGGCAGAUCUCUGGGCCGUAACUGACGCUGAGGAGCGAAAGCAUGGGGAGCGAACAGGAUUAGAUACCCUGGUAGUCCAUGCCGUAAACGUUGGGAACUAGAUGUGGGGACCAUUCCACGGUCUCCGUGUCGCAGCUAACGCAUUAAGUUCCCCGCCGUGGGGAGUACGGCCGCAAGGCUAAAACUCAAAGGAAUUGACGGGGGCCCGCACAAGCGGCGGAGCAUGCGGAUUAAUUCGAUGCAACGCGAAGAACCUUACCAAGGCUUGACAUAUACCGGAAACGGCUGGAAACAGUCGCCCCGCAAGGUCGGUAUACAGGUGGUGCAUGGUUGUCGUCAGCUCGUGUCGUGAGAUGUUGGGUUAAGUCCCGCAACGAGCGCAACCCUCGUCCUAUGUUGCCAGCACGUAAUGGUGGGAACUCAUGGGAUACUGCCGGGGUCAACUCGGAGGAAGGUGGGGAUGACGUCAAAUCAUCAUGCCCCUUAUGUCUUGGGCUUCACGCAUGCUACAAUGGCCGGUACAAAGGGCUGCGAUACCGCAAGGUGGAGCGAAUCCCAAAAAGCCGGUCUCAGUUCGGAUUGAGGUCUGCAACUCGACCUCAUGAAGUCGGAGUCGCUAGUAAUCGCAGAUCAGCAGCGCUGCGGUGAAUACGUUCCCGGGCCUUGUACACACCGC